CUUCGCGAUAAAGCUUGGUACAUCGUGGCGGAUUUUGUGCUCUUUAGUGGUGGUUGGGUGUGAGUUGAGCACCACAAGAUGCACUGGUGGGUCAAAGAGCAUGCAACCCUAUUCCCUUAAUUUCUUGGUAAACCCUCAUUUUUCCUCUUUUUUUCAUCACUCCAAAAUCAUGAAAUUUCUCAUAUGGAACAGAGAUUUGAAUGUGC
rnacentral:lncRNA from 1 species